GAGCCUUCGGUUGUCAUGUGACCUCACUCUUUUCUCUACAGCAUCUGUAGGGUUAACUUCGCCUGCGGACCCCCCCAAACUAGUUAUUUCCAGCCAGGAAUAAAUUUGUGGCUCGGUGACUGUGCGAUCACCGUCAGGCUGAGAAAUGACACUGACUGUGGAGCCGGAGCGGCCGGUGGAAAUGUCGAUAUUCUCCGCCGGUGACCUUGGUCACUUUGUCUCAUUGGGCCCCAGGCGCCAAAAAAUCCCAGGUCCCAAGCAUGUCAGCGCGGAGCGCAUUACUGUAAAUUCCCAGAUACAAGGCCGCUCACAGCUCUUUGUAUUGGAUUUGUGGUGUCCUGGAGAAGAAGAAUGGCGCACGGAAUCAUUAACUCUACGAUGCCUGGAGUCAUUGUUAAAACCGGCAAAGGAUUAAUUUGACGCCGUAAGAAUGGCGAAGAGUGAUGCCUAAAAUAAGCUAAAUCUUCCAGUUCUGUCUGUGAUGAUAAGAAGGAGGCUGCUAGAAAGUGAUCUGUACAGCAUUGCAGUGUAUGGUGAAACCAGUAGCUAGAGAUGACAAGCUCACAGCUCAGCCUUCCCCUCCGCUUUGCAAAAGUCGCAGAACACGCCCAGUGAAGUUUCCCAUUCAUGUGAACAGGACAAUUCCUAUUGUUUCCUAUGUCAAUUGGACAUAUAGCACAACUAGAAAUGCAAAUGAGCUCAUUUGCAUACUGAUGUAAUGUUGCUCUCACAGUUCUGGUGAUGCUGCAGAAUUGUAAAACCACAUAGAUUCGACGGUGGAAGCUCCAUUAAGAAUUUUCCUUUCAGCCAGAAUGAAAUAUUAAGUAAUAUAAAUCUAAACGUGAGUCUUCAAUAGUUUGUUCACCGUCACGGCCAUUAUAAAGAUAACAUGAUGAUCACAGACAGAAGAAUUCUCCAUCAGUGAUCAACAAAGACUAAAUAAACUCUCAGACUAAUGCAGGUGUAUAGCGGAGAGACGUCCUGACUACCGGAGACACUUAGAUAGAUAAUGCUGAAACAUGGUUUAUUGAGUUCUGUAACUUCGUAAGAUACAGUCGUGACCAAAAGUUUUACGAUUGACACAAAUUUGGGUUUUCGCACCAUUUGCCGCUUCAGUGAUUUUAGAUCUGUUAGUCAGAUGUUUCUAUGGUUACCAACGGACUAUUAUAAGGA